GAUGAACGCUGGCGGCGUGCUUAACACAUGCAAGUCGAACGGAAAGGCCCAAGCUUGCUUGGGUACUCGAGUGGCGAACGGGUGAGUAACACGUGGGUGAUCUGCCCUGCACUUCGGGAUAAGCCUGGGAAACUGGGUCUAAUACCGGAUAGGACCACUUCUUGGAUGUUGUGGUGGAAAGUUUUUUCGGUGUGGGAUGCGCUCGCGGCCUAUCAGCUUGUUGGUGGGGUAAUGGCCUACCAAGGCGUCGACGGGUAGCCGGCCUGAGAGGGUGUACGGCCACAUUGGGACUGAGAUACGGCCCAGACUCCUACGGGAGGCAGCAGUGGGGAAUAUUGCACAAUGGGCGCAAGCCUGAUGCAGCGACGCCGCGUGGGGGAUGACGGCCUUCGGGUUGUAAACUCCUUUCGCUAGGGACGAAGCGUUUUGUGACGGUACCUGGAGAAGAAGCACCGGCUAACUACGUG
rnacentral:rRNA from 1 species